UACGGAGGGGGCAAGCGUUGUUCGGAAUUACUGGGCGUAAAGGGCGCGUAGGCGGUUUUGCAAGUCAGAGGUGAAAGCCCUGGGCUCAACCUGGGAGGUGCCUUUGAAACUGCGGGACUUGAGUACGGGAGAGGAUGGCGGAAUUCCCAGUGUAGAGGUGAAAUUCGUAGAUAUUGGGAAGAACACCGGUGGCGAAGGCGGCCAUCUGGACCGUAACUGACGCUGAGGCGCGAAAGCGUGGGGAGCAAACAGG
rnacentral:rRNA from 1 species